UGAGGUUUUAUAGAUCCUCUGUCGAUUCAUUUCUAAAUUUAUUCAAUUUCUCUUUUUCUAAAUAGAGUCAAGGGGAAUGAAACUUUAGUCCCUCGAUUACCAUCUCAGUUUAUCAAUUUAAGGGUGCGUGGCUUGAGACCCUUCAUUAUUUUAUCCCGACCUUGUUGUGCAGCUAAGUAUAUAUGUACUCUUUGGAUGCUAUCAUUAGCUAAAAUAUGAUGUAAAUAAUAUAGCCAUUAAAAUUAUAAUACAUAUUUAUUGUUCAGAAGAAGCAUUUUUAAUAAUUUUCUACGUAUCAUUAAAAUUCUUUUAAUUAAAAAAAUCAUUUUCGCCGAUCACUUUCUAUAUGUCAUGACUAAAUUGAUAUUUUAGGUUAUAGCUUCAACAUAUUUGAGAAGUUUGAGAAAAAACAUGCUUUUUUUGACACUUUUUGUAAGGCUAUUAUUAAAACUUGUUGCAAAAUGCUCG
rnacentral:lncRNA from 1 species